rnacentral:rRNA from 1 species
AGCAGCCGCCGCGGGAAUACGUAGGGUGCAAGCGUUAAUCGGAAUUACUGGGCGUAAAGCGUGCGCAGGCGGUUAUAUAAGUCAGAUGUGAAAUCCCCGGGCUCAACCUGGGAACUGCAUUUGAGACUGUAUGGCUAGAGUGUGUCAGAGGGGGGUAGGAUUCCACGUGUAGCAGUGAAAUGCGUUGAGAUCGGAAAGAACACCAACGGCGAAAGCACUCUGCUGGGCCGACACUGACACUGAGAGACGAAAGCUAGGGGAGCAAAUGGGAUUAGAUACCCCAGUAGUCCCUGUCUCUUAUAC